rnacentral:rRNA from 1 species
CGGAUAAAAGGUACUCCGGGGAUAACAGGCUGAUACCGCCCAAGAGUUCAUAUCGACGGCGGUGUUUGGCACCUCGAUGUCGGCUCAUCACAUCCUGGGGCUGAAGCCGGUCCCAAGGGUAUGGCUGUUCGCCAUUUAAAGUGGUACGCGAGCUGGGUUUAGAACGUCGUGAGACAGUUCGGUCYCUAUCUGCCGUGGACGUUUGAGAUUUGAGAGGGGCUGCUCCUAGUACGAGAGGACCGGAGUGGACGAACCUCUGGUGUUCCGGUUGUCACGCCAGUGGCAUUGCCGGGUAGCUAUGUUCGGAAAAGAUAACCGCUGAAAGCAUCUAAGCGGGAAACUUGCCUCAAGAUGAGAUCUCACUGGGAACUUGAUUCCCCUGAAGGGCCGUCGAAGACUACGACGUUGAUAGGCUGGGUGUGUAAGCGUUGUGAGGCGUUGAGCUAACCAGUACUAAUUGCCCGUGAGGCUUGACCAUAUAACACCCAAACA